rfam:Felis catus breed Abyssinian Contig178840.1, whole genome shotgun sequence. [26-MAY-2016]
GCCUGGCUGGCUCCGUCAGUAGAGCAUGAGACUCUUAAUCUCAAGGUUGUGAGUUCAAGCCCCACAUUGGGUG